UAUGUGACGCACCAUGACAUUUUGGGUCCAAAUUCGGCGUUACGUCAUUUGAGAAAACAUCGAUUAAAGUUACGUCACAAAAAAUGGUGGACGUUACCACGUGUUCGCGGCAAUUAAUGCAUUUCUUGUUUUCAAUAAUACUCUACCUUGCCACAAGAAAAAAAUGAAGUGACAUUUAUAAACAUUUCCGUGAUUUGCAAUUCCGUUUCUUUAAAAAAUUUAAAUGAUUGAUAAUUUAUCGCCCUUUGAAUCGACACGCCAUUUGUAAACAUCGAAGGUCGUGGAGAAAAUGAAACUACCAAAAACAAUUAUUUGAAGAUUUAUUUCGAUUGUAUAAAGAAUGACAGUUGGCGAAUCUCAAGAUCAACCACUGAGGAUUGUUUGGCUUGAUGCAAUGAUGUUAAACAGUGAAAUGAUUUUCCAGGAAGGUCUAUACACAACAACCUGGAUUUUAUGGGGUGAUGAAAGAACUAUGAAUAUGCAAAUGGGAAUGAAACAGAAGGAAUUAAUAUGUUCUACUGAUCAUCCAGCUGAAAUCAUGCCUGUGGAAUAGAGUGCAUGUCACAAAUACUGAUAUGAGCAAAUAACUCCAUAUUGCACAAAUAAGGUCAUGUUUCCUGCCCUCAUGACCUGAAAAAGUGAAAAAUUCUAGUUCAAAUUACAAAUGUGUUUCAAGAAAAAGUAAAACUUAGUCAACUAUGAGAAAUAUUGGGUAAAAGUAGUGUUUUGAUGUCAUGACAGCUGUGAAGUUGUUUGAGAAGCACUAUCCUAAUUGUUCUAACAAUACAGCAUUUAACUUAUAAAUUUUCCAAAACUGCAUGCAUGAAAUACUAAGACAUGUCUGUUGAAUGACUCCUAGUUGUUUCAAAACUACAACAUGUGUGACAUUAAAGCACACCCUUUGGAGGAAACAUUUUUACAAUAAAAACUGCCUUGCCAGUGUGAUUGUAAGAAGGAUUUUUCCAGAAAUGGCAGAAAACUACCAAUAUAGCAGAAAAUAUUUGUUACUGGCUGAAUAUAAUAUAUCUUAUUUCAAGAAUUAAUCAUGUUAAUCCAUGGUUAUAAUUGUGUUAAAAGAUAUUUUUACAUGACAUGACCUUUGCAGAAAUAGCUAA